CAGGGGACUGUGACUGGCAGGUGACACACGCUGGCUGUCAUCUCCAUGGUCCAGCGGGCAGCCCACACUUGGCCCAGGGGACAGCAGGCCAUGUGGGCUCUAUCCAGCAGAAGACCUCGGCCCUUUAAAUCCGAUAGCCCUAGGGAAUUACAUCAGCCAGCUACUGGCCAGGACAUUCAGUUCUUAGCCUGACAUCUGAGUCAGAGGACUCCAAGUUGCUUGGCUGAGCUGAUGAAGGUUUGCAGCUGAUGAGGCCAAUGCUGUGGCUGCAGUCCUGAGUCAGCCAGUUCUAUCCCUUCUCCCCAGCCCGGGGCUGUGCACGACCACUUCCCGCCAGUUGUUCUUACAGCUGUGUGCCACAGAGCAUAAACGGUGGAGCAUAAACCCUGUGAGAGCGGGUCUGGCUCAGAAUCCCAGCAGCAGAGGAUAUGCUCUAUCGGGCUUGGCUGCUCUGCUCUGAAUGGAGGAAGGAGCCGACAAAGACAAAGCGCCCGGGGCCCAGGAGAGUUUAAGAGCAGCCCUGUGGCUGACUAGCCCCUCCGCACCUGGAGGGCCCAUGUGCCUUUGUCUCUCUCCCCUUCCUGUGGCCUUUGGGCUGGAAAAGGACAGAAGCGAUUCUUGAUUAGGGACAGAUGUGUGCUCUUUUGCUUCACUCUCCGCUGAUAUUCACAGCAACUUUUGAGAUGGCUGGGCCUGCACUUGCUCCGCUCACGGCUCGAGAGCUCACCUGGUUUCCUGCGAUCACACAGCCAGCAGUUCGUGGGCUGCAGCUCCCACCCAGGGACCUUGCCCAACGCCUGUGCAUUUCCCAGCUCAGCUCUGCGCAGUGAAUGCCCCCAUAGAAGGAAGCAGAAAGACUUCAAAUCCUCCCUUACUCUCCUGUACUCCCCACUGCCUGACAUUUAGCCACACCUCUCCCAAAGGGUUUUAUGCUGAACAGCUUAGUGUACUUGCACAAUUUCUAGAAGAACCUGAAUCCUGUUCUUUGCUCAAAGCAUAAAUGCCAAGUGAGAAUCCCCUGGAAGAAGAAAUGUGAGCAGUGUGGUGAGAGAGGCGCUCAGCUACUGAGAAACCAGUCCCUGAGGUCCAGGGCCUGAGGCCUAGUCUCAACCCAUGAUCAGUGGACUGUAACCUUGUCUGACCUUAUGCCUUCACAGGGCCUUGGCAUUCUGUCUACAUUGAGGGAGUGGGUCUUGAUGGUCCCAGACCCCUCUUCUAUGAAAAUCACAUGUCGUUGCUCAUAGGCCUUACAACCACAGACAUGCUGGGUCGCGGCAGUGAUCAACCAGUGGAGCCCACGGAGAUUUUCCCUGCCUGGACUCUGCACAUUGUUGCAUGGAAGGGCAGGUUUGGCCAUCCUCAUAAACAUUCGUGAUCUAGAAACUGGCCGGGCUGCAACUCCCACCCAGACCCUGACUAGGCCAGAGCCACUUUAACCAACAGGCUUUUAGGUGAACUCCUUGGCAGAGAAAAUCUACUGUGGAAGCGUAAAGCUGAAGGGAAGUUUCUCUGAGCUCCAACUCUGCUGCCCUGUGAGUGAGUAUCGGAGACAGCAGCCAGUCCCGCUGAUUUCUGCCCUCUGUGUACCCCAGGCCUACUGGCUUCAGAGAAAAAGGGCUGCCUUGGUGGGCAGCACCACACUGCCCACUCUCAAAUAAACUAAAGAAAACGUUUCUUCCACAUAUGCUAAUUACCUAUUGCUAAACCCAAGGAUGGUGGAAGUGUGCUUUAUUUGGGGCAAUUGACUUAUUUGAAAGCAGCCACCAGUGUCUUGCUUCCUAAUGUAUAUGAGGACACGCUCUAUGUACCGAGUGUCUCUGGGCAGGGACUGAGUCUCAGGGGACCUGGGGGAAAGAGCCUCACUGCCCUUGGAUUUGGAUUUUAAUCCUGACUUCAUCGUGUACUACCUGUGUGACCUGAGGUGGACCACCUAACCUCUCUGAGCCUCAGUUUCCUCAGUUGUAAAAUAGAAAUGACAAAAUUUCUCUCCAACCUGACUGCCAUAGGGAUUCCUUGAAACAAAGUAUGUGAAUUGCUCAGAGCCAAGUAGGUGCUAUGUGAGUUCUAGCCCUCCUGUUUUCUGACCUUGGAUACACACUUACCCCAGGCAUGAUUAUCUUCUCAACGUCGUUGAUGAUGUCCUCAAACGUGUCUGGCUCCUGAGGGGCAGCGGCAGGGAUCAGCGGCCGCAGGUACCCGGGCUCCACGUCAGGGUAGACCUGGCGUCCCUCAAUGCCUUCCAUGUAGUUGGCCAUGUAAUCCACCAUCUCCUUCCCUCUCCUUCGGAAUUCACUUGCGUUCAUGGUGUCUGGGCUCUGUCAGAGGUGAAAACUGCAGAAAGAAAAUGAUUCAGUGAGCAAAUUUUGCAACCUCUGAACUGGAAGGCGGGGAUACCAAGCAAGCCGUGGGUAGGGACACCUGGGCAGUGACUGCAUGCCCUGGAGGCCACUUGGAUCCCAAGUAAGGGGCGCUUUCCCUCCAUGUCUGUAGGAGGUAGAAAUGGCACUGGAUUUGGGACUGAGGCAAAAGCUGCUUCUCCUCUUCACCAGCUAUUCAACUGGGAACAACACAACGUCGCUUUAUUUCAAUAGACUAGAAGCACACGUUUAUUUUCAUGAUCGAUUCCAACUUUAAUGACAAACACUGGUCCAAGUCCUGCCUCUGCCCUUACCUGCCUUUGAAAGAGACAAGCUUGCCCCUUAGAGCCCCUCUCCUCAUCUGAGAAAUGAAGACUGUGAUGCUGACCUCUCAGGAGGGCAUGAAGGCACAGUCACACAAUGCACACGAGCCUCAGCUCAGAGCCUGGGGCAGCACACCCCCUCAAACUUAGUCUUCUUCUCUCCUCUUGAUUCUGUCACAGAUGGAACUGCACCUUUACGCACCAUCUGCUUUUUAAAACUAAUGCUCUCCUCCCUCCUUGCAUAAGUAAUAUACAGGCAAUUCUCAUUAUUGCUGGUAGCUGUGUUCUAUCUACAACAGUUGCCAUGGCCAUAAACUCUGAAUUAGUGAAUACUGAACCAUUUCUUCUAGGGGAAAUACAAUUUCCUGAAGCGUGAUCCCAACAUUUUUGUCAACAAAUCAGUACAUAAACUUUUCAUGUGUUUUUAAGAGACACUUUAUUUAAUAUAUAUUGAUUCAUUAACAUUGGACUCACAGCCAACAGCACUGUAACUCCUGUCUGGGGAAGCUUCUCUAACACAUAUAUUUUCUCCAUAAGGCACGUCUUGUGCAUAGGAUGGCUAGACAGCACUUCUGCACCACAUUUGGGGGUCAUUUUAAACAGCAAAAUCACCAAGAAGAAAAACAUAAAAAUGUGAAGGAUGUGGCACUGAAUAGACAGAGAGAAGGACAUGUUUACAUUAUGAGAGCUGACGCAAGAAGGUAGUGUGUCCCUUUGUUCAGCCUCAGCUGGGAACAUACGCAUCGGACAAGCACAUUCUCCACUACGCUACACAUAUGUACGUCCCUGAGUGGUCUCAAAAGCACCAUGAGUAUUGAUAUUUAUUGACAUUGGGGGUUACAAAUGAAUUUUAGCAAGUAGGAGAAUUUGCAUAGGUGGAAUAUGUGAAUAAGAAUCAAUUGUAUUUUCAAAACAGGACAGUGAACAACACAAAGAAAAAGAUAAGCCUAAAAUCCCACAACCCAAAAUUCUGGCACAUGUCUUUCUAGAAUUUUUAUUUUACUUUAUUUUAUGUGUUUAUUUUUUUGAAACGGAGUUUUGCUCUUGUCGCCCAGGCUGAAGUGCAAUGGCACGAUCUCGGCUCACUGCAACCUCUGCCUCCCGGGUUCAAGUGAUUCUCCUGCCUCAGUCUCCUGAGUAGCUGGGAUUAUAAGCACCCACCACUAUGCCCAGCUAAUUUUUGUAUUUUUAGUAGAGGCGGGGUUUCACCACAUUGGCCAGGCUGGUCUCAAACUCCUGACCUCUGGUGAUCCACCAGCCUCGGCCUCUCAAAGUGCUGGGAUUACAGGCAUGAGCCACCGCUCCCAGCCUCUAGAAUAUUUUCUAUUUAUGAGAGACAAUUGCAUGCUAGGGAUGGACUCACAGCCAACAGCACUGUAACUCCUGUCUGGGGAAGCUUCUCUAACACAUGUAUUUUCUCCAUAAGGCACGUCUUGUGCAUAGGAUGGCACAAGGAAAAUGCAUAGGGAUGCAUUUUCAAAUCUUUUUCAUACUCCAAAGUUUUGUAGAUGAGGAAAUGGAAGCUCAGAGAGGCAAUGUGACAUGCCCAAGAUCACAUGACCAGUAAUUGCAGAAAUAGGAUUCAAAUUUAUAGCUGGCUCCAGGACAAAUUUAAGAUAAAUUUUCCCAUGGGAGUUAAGUGCUUAGGAAUACUCUAAAUUCACUGUUAUUAGCAAUGGUGAUGACCUUACUAUCAGCUUCCAGCACUUCUCUAUUUUCCCAUUGUCCAUGCUGGGAUUUUUAACAAUUUUUGUGAGGUUAAAGGUGGUAAAGAAAAAUUGUUCACCAGGCACUUGUUAAAAGUGACAAGACAGAUUUUACUCAAGACCACUGCAAUAGGGAUAGAAUGUUGCAAAAGGGGAGGGGCUGAACUCAAUUCCAAAAACAACAGGGGCACAUAGGGACUUACAGCCAACGGUCAGGUGAGAGGGUCCCUGGGUGGAAAAUUACUAAGAGGAACUUGGGUAAGUAUCAAGGGUGGAGGGGAAAAAGGAACUCUGGAUGAGAUACCAAAAGUGGAAGCACAUGAGCCUGAUUGGACAUCAAAGUUGUGCUCAGAAGGCCAAGGAGGAGACUUGGCUAAGCUCUUCCCCCUUGGGCCAGAGGAGCUUGGCUGAUGUUUGGUCAAGGUACUUUGACAAAGGUAAACCUGCUAGAAUGUGCUUUUCCUUCCAUUGGCAUUCUCUCUAAUAUUUUUACUUCCAUGUUCUCUGUUAAAUGAACAGUUACAGAAGUUUUUAUGUCAUUUCAAGGCUUAUUAGAUCCAGCCCCCAUGUUAAAGCUAUUGUUUGAGGAUGCAUUUCUCAGCUAGUGAGUGCUUGAGUGGCAGUGAUUGAGACGUAAGAUUAGACUCUAGAUUAUAGCAACAGCAAAUGCCAAACUAACAAGCAUGAGAACAACCACAAUGACUGUCUGAAGUUCUGUUGCACCUUUGUGCUUCUUAAGCCAACGACCAAGGAGUGUCCUGUUCACCAGCAAAACAUCAAGGCCAUGUGCUAAAGCAGCCAGCUUACAAUUCCUUGGGGCCUGCAGGCUUUGAAAUUAGUUUUUAGUUUGAAGUGACUGUUUUUUUUUAAUUUUGCACAUACAGUGAAACUUGGUUUUCACCUCAAGUGGAAGUAUUUCAAAUUAAUAUGACUCAAAUUUUUAACUCAAAUGGUAUCACACUGCAGAUCUUUUUGCUAGCCUGUUUUUCUUUACUAAUUUCUAAGUACAUUUCUCAUGUUGAUAAAUACUUUUCUUUUUCUUUUUUUUUUGUUUUUUUUUGAGACGGAGUCUUGCUCUGUCACCCAGGCUAGAGUGCAGUGGUGCGAUCUUGGCUCACGGCAACCUCUGCCUCCCAGGUUCAAGUGAUUCUCCUGCCUCAGCCUCCCGAGUAGCUGGGACUACAGGGCAUGGUGGCAGACACCUGGCUAAUUUUUUUUUUGUAUUUUUAGUAGAGACAGGAUUUCGCCAUGUUGGUCAGGCUGGUCUUGAACUCCUGAUCUCAAGUGUUCUGUCUGCCUUGGCCUUCCAAAGUGCUGGGAUUGCAGGCAUGAGCCACCGCACCUGCCCGAUAAAUACUUUUCUAUUGUGUGAUUUCUCACAAGUAUUUCACAAUGUGAAUGUGCCAUAUUCACAACAUGUACCUCUAUUGUUGAGCAUUUAUAUUAUUUCCAAUUUUCACCCACACAGUGGGAAGCAUUGGUGUAUCCCAGUGGCCAACACUCCGAGACCGAGAGCCAAAGAAAGGACUGCGAGUCACACCCUGAUUCUAUGUAUUAGCUAUCAUAAUCGCAUGUAUUAGCUAUUAUAACAGCAUGUAUUAGCUGUACAACCCAGCGUAAAUUGCUGCCAUGCUAAACCUCAUUUUCUUUAACUGGCAACAAAAAUCGUGACAAUAAUAGUAUAGGUACACCCCGUUUUAUUGCAUUUUUUACAAAUAGAAGGUUUGUGACAACCCUGAAUCCAGCAAGUCUAUAGGCACAAUGUUUCCAAAAGCAUGUGCUCACUCAAUGACUCUGUGUUACAUUUCAGAAACUUUUGUAAUAUUUCAAACCAUUUCAUUAUUAUUAAUCUGUUAUAGUGAUCUAUGGUCGGCAAUCUUUGAUGUUACUAUUGUAAUUGUUUUGGGACAGCAUGGACCACACCCACAUGAUGGUCAACUUAAUAAAUUUGUGUCUGACUGAACCACU
rnacentral:lncRNA from 10 species